rnacentral:rRNA from 1 species
AGUCGAGCGAAUGGAUUGAGAGCUUGCUCUCAGAAGUUAGCGGCGGACGGGUGAGUAACACGUGGGUAACCUGCCCAUAAGACUGGGAUAACUCCGGGAAACCGGGGCUAAUACCGGAUAACAUUUUGAACUGCAUGGUUCGAAAUUGAAAGGCGGCUUCGGCUGUCACUUAUGGAUGGACCCGCGUCGCAUUAGCUAGUUGGUGAGGUAACGGCUCACCAAGGCGACGAUGCGUAGCCGACCUGAGAGGGUGAUCGGCCACACUGGGACUGAUACACGGCCCAGACUCCUACGGGAGGCAGCAGUAGGGAAUCUUCCGCAAUGGACGAAAGUCUGACGGAGCAACGCCGCGUGAGUGAUGAAGGCUUUCGGGUCGUAAAACUCUGUUGUUAGGGAAGAACAAGUGCUAGUUGAAUAAGCUGGCACCUUGACGGUACCUAACCAGAAAGCCACGGCUAACUACGUGCCACCAGCCGCGGUAAUACGUAGGUGGCAAGCGUUAUCCGGAAUUAUUGGGCGUAAAGCGCGCGCAGGUGGUUUCUUAAGUCUGAUGUGAAAGCCCACGGCUCAACCGUGGAGGGUCAUUGGAAACUGGGAGACUUGAGUGCAGAAGAGGAAAGUGGAAUUCCAUGUGUAGCGGUGAAAUGCGUACAGAUAUGGAGGAACACCAGUGGCGAACGCGACUUUCUGGUCUGUAACUG